GAUGAACGCUGGCGGCGUGCCUAAUACAUGCAAGUCGAGCGAACUGAUUAGAAGCUUGCUUCUAUGACGUUAGCGGCGGACGGGUGAGUAACACGUGGGCAACCUGCCUGUAAGACUGGGAUAACUUCGGGAAACCGAAGCUAAUACCGGAUAGAAUCUUCUCCUUCAUGGGAGAUGAUUGAAAGAUGGUUUCGGCUAUCACUUACAGAUGGGCCCGCGGUGCAUUAGCUAGUUGGUGAGGUAACGGCUCACCAAGGCAACGAUACAUAGCCGACCUGAGGGGGUGAUCGGCCACACUGGGACUGAGACACGGCCCAGACUCCUACGGGAGGCAGCAGUAGGGAAUCUUCCGCAAUGGACGAAAGUCUGACGGAGCAACGCCGCGUGAGUGAUGAAGGCUUUCGGGUCGUAAAACUCUGUUGUUAGGGAAGAACAAGUACGAGAGUAACUGCUCGUACCUUGACGGUACCUAACCAGAAAGCCACGGCUAACUACGUGCCAGCAGCCGCGGUAAUAC
rnacentral:rRNA from 1 species